GGACUACCCGGGUAUCUAAUCCUGUUUGCUCCCCACGCUUUCGCGCCUCAGCGUCAGUAUCUGUCCAGACAGUCGCCUUCGCCACUGGUGUUCCUUCCGAUCUCUACGCAUUUCACCGCUACACCGGAAAUUCCACUGCCCUCUACAGUACUCCAGCCAAUCAGUCAAUGAUGCCAUUCCCAGGUUAAGCCCGGGGCUUUCACAUCACUCUUGAUCAACCGCCUGCGCGCCCUUUACGCCCAGUAAUUCCGAUUAACGCUCGCACCCUCUGUAUUACCGCGGCGGCUGGCAC
rnacentral:rRNA from 2 species